CCUACGGGGUGGCAGCAGUGAGGAAUAUUGGUCAAUGGGCGGAAGCCUGAACCAGCCAAGUAGCGUGCAGGAUGACGGCCCUACGGGUUGUAAACUGCUUUUAUACGGGAAUAACGCGCCUUACGUGUAGGGCUUUGCAUGUCCCGUAUGAAUAAGGACCGGCAAAUUCCGUGACAGCAGCCGCGGUAAUACGGAAGGUCUGGGCGUUAUCCGGAUUUAUUGGGUUUAUAGGGAGCGUAGGCCGCAUGUCAAGCGUGCUGUGAAAUGUCCGGGCUCAACCCGGGCAUUGCAGCGCGAACGGGCGAGCUUGAGUCCGCGGAAAGCAGGCGGAAUUCGUCGUGUAGCGGUGAAAUGCUUAGAUAUGACGAAGAACCCCGAUUGCGAAGGCAGCUUGCUGCAGCGGAACUGACGCUGAUGCUCGAAAGCGCGGGUAUCGAACAGGAUUAGAUACCCUUGUAGUC
rnacentral:rRNA from 1 species